GGAAUGUGGCUCAAGUGGUAGUGCACUUGCCUAGCAUGCAUGGGGCACUGGGUUUGAUUCUCAGCACCA
rnacentral:tRNA from 1 species